GAUUAACGCUAGCGGCAGGCCUAAUACAUGCAAGUCGAACGGCAGCACGGAUAGCAAUAUCUGGUGGCGAGUGGCGCACGGGUGCGUAACGCGUAUGUAAUCUGCCUCUAACUGGGGAAUAGCCUUCCGAAAGGAAGAUUAAUACCGCAUAAUAUAAAGGAAAGGCAUCUUCCCUUUAUCAAAACUCCGGUGGUUAGAGAUGAACAUGCGUGACAUUAGCUAGUUGGUAAGGUAACAGCUUACCAAGGCAACGAUGUCUAGGGGGUCUGAGAGGAUGAUCCCCCACACUGGUACUGAGACACGGACCAGACUCCUACGGGAGGCAGCAGUAAGGAAUAUUGGACAAUGGGGGCGACCCUGAUCCAGCCAUGCCGCGUGAAGGAUUAAGGCCCUAUGGGUUGUAAACUUCUUUUGUACGGGAAGAAACACUCCUACGUGUAGGAGCUUGACGGUACCGUAAGAAUAAGGAUCGGCUAACUCCGUGCCAGCCGCCGCCGAAAUAC
rnacentral:rRNA from 1 species